GGUGAGGGGAAACGAGCACUCAGGAAGGGGAACAAAAAUAAGAGCGCUGACAGGAAACAAACACCCAACAAGGAACCACAACCAGAAGUGAAGUGACAGAUCGUCACAUUUUUAAGCCAUUUUACAACAUUUUUCUAGAUUUGCUGGCUCAAUAUGAGUCCAAAGAAUGCAAUGGACAAGCGUGGUUUGAAACAUUCAGGAAGUAUCCACAGUGUUGUUGACAUGCUCCCACCCCACCCCUUCUUCUGCUGCACACAAAGAAGAAUAACCAACAAGUGUCUGCUGUGAUCCUGACAAGUCUAUGUGACAGCAGGAUGGCACAGCAGGACCAUCGGGGAGAGAUUUUAAAGUUCCAGCAGGAGGAGCGACUUCUUCUUAAAGCUUGGAAAAACAUGUCCUCCGCUCUCCAGCAGCAGACUUUGGAUGGUGACCUCAGACCUUCAGGCCCGGUCCAGUCCUUCCUGUCCAGGCAGAGGCAGUCGUCACGCAGAAGGAGGCUGCUGCAGCCCAGAUAGAAGCUUCCUAACUUCUGGAGGAGCAAGAGAUUCAAGGAUGUAUUUAUCCAGUUUGCUCUCAGCCUCUUUGUACGAGCUUGCUUCUAUCGCC